CCGCUGAACUUAAGCAUAUCAAUAAGCGGAGGAAAAGAAACCAACAGGGAUUGCCCUAGUAACGGCGAGUGAAGCGGCAACAGCUCAAAUUUGAAAUCUGGCCUCGGCCCGAGUUGUAAUUUGCAGAGGAUGUUUCUGGCGCGGUGCCUUCCGAGUUCCCUGGAACGGGACGCCACAGAGGGUGAGAGCCCCGUAUGGUUGGACACCAAGCCUGUGUGAAACUCCUUCGACGAGUCGAGUAGUUUGGGAAUGCUGCUCUAAAUGGGAGGUAAAUCUCUUCUAAAGCUAAAUACCGGCCAGAGACCGAUAGCGCACAAGUAGAGUGAUCGAAAGAUGAAAAGCACCUUGAAAAGGGGGUUAAACAGUACGUGAAAUUGUUGAAAGGGAAGCGCUCAUGACCAGACUUGUGCCGGGCGGUUCAUCCGGGGUUCUCCCCGGUGCACUCCGCCCGGUUCAGGCCAGCAUCGGUUCUCGUUGGGGGAUAAGAACGGUAGGAACGUGGCCCUCCCUCGGGAGGGUGUUAUAGCCUGCCGUACGAUACCCUGAUGGGGACCGAGGUUCGCGCUCCGCAAGGAUGCUGGCGUAAUGGUCAUCAGCGACCCGUCUUGAAACACGGACCAAGGAGUCGUCCAUUAGAGCGAGCGUUUGGGUGUAAAACCCGCACGCGUAAUGAAAGUGAAAUUAGGUGAGAGCUUCGGCGCAUCAUCGACCGAUCCUGAUGUUCUCGGAUGGAUUUGAGUAAGAGUUUUAACGGACGGACCCGAAAGACAGUGAACUAUGCUUGUAUAGGGUGAAGCCAGAGGAAACUCUGGUGGAGGCUCGCAGCGGUUCUGACGUGCAAAUCGAUCGUCAAAUAUGAGCAUGGGGGCGAAAGACUAAUCGAACUGUCUAGUAGCUGGUUACCGCCGA
rnacentral:rRNA from 1 species